AUGGUCAGUUUGACAUUUUAUAAGCUCUCAUGGAGUACAAUUACCAGGUCAGUGAUCACAGCAACACAUCAAUUAGUGAACUUGCAGCACCUUGAUCUUUCAAGCACUCCAAUCCAGUCGAUCCCAAUGGAGCUUCAACAUUUGAAAUGUUUGAGGUACCUAUAUUUAGGAUACACCUAUGAGCUGGUAACAAUCCCAAAUGGGACAAUAUCUGCUCUAACAACGUUGAGAGUCUUUGAUUUAUACUCUAGUGGGACCUUCCUAGAGGACACAACACAGGCAUGCAUUAAGGAGUUGGAGAGUUCGGCAUGGAUACAAUCAUUGGGGUUCACCGUUAGCGAUUCUAAUUCACUUCAAAGGAUACUCAACUAUUCUAAGGCCUCCUUGAAAUCCCUUUGUUUGAGAGAAGUGAAAGGCUUGCCACAUCUCCAUAUCGCACCUGGAUUUUUUAGCAAAACGAAGGUACAUGAACUCGAGAGGUUGACAUUGAAAGGUAUGGAGAGCUUAAAGGAGUUGUACAUAGGGGAUACGAUUGUGGAUUCAGAUUGGCACUUCGGGAAACUUGACAAACUAACAUUUUGGAACCUAAGAGAGUUGGAAGUUGUCGUAUGGAAAGGGGUGGUGCCUCAUGCUUGCUUCCCUAAACUUCAUGUGUUACUGAUCUCUGACUGCCACAACAUCAGGACAGUCUCAUGGAUCAAGCAGCUCCCAUGCCUAGGUGAGGUAUAUUUGAUUCACUGUGAUUCAAUGUUGGAGUUGGUAGCUGCAGCUGAAGGGGGAGGAAGCAUGUCAUCCGCUGCGGAUUCGUUUCCCCGGCUCAAGGUACUUGGACUGAGUGGUCUUGGGAACCUGCACAACAUAUGUGAUGGCACUCCUGUAUUCCCUUGUUUGAAGCGCUUGCUUGUGUACAAUUGUUCGAGGCUGGCCAAAUUGCCAUUCGGGUUAUACAAGGAAGAGUGUGUGCCGGUGAUACUAGGCAGACAAGACUGGUGGGAACAACUAGUCUGGGAGAAUAGUAGCACGGAAUCUACUUUAAACUCAUUCUUCAGGGAACUGCCGUCGAGUUUUCAAGGAAAUUUUGAAGAUGUUCGCAGGGCAUUAACUCGUUAUUAA
rnacentral:rRNA from 1 species